ACAUGCAAGUCGAACGAAGUAGCAAUACUUAGUGGCAGACGGGUGAGUAACAUGUGGGUAUCUACCCUUUGGCCUGGAAUAACACGAGGAAACUUGUGCUAAUACCGGAUAAGUCUUUACGGAGAAAGCUUUAUGCACCAUUGGAUGAGCCUGCACUUGAUUAGUUUGUUGGUGGGGUAAUGGCCUACCAAGACUUUGAUCAAUAGCUGAUUUGAGAGGAUGAUCAGCCACAUUGGGACUGAGACACGGCCCAAACUCCUACGGGAGGCAGCAGUGGGGAAUCUUGCACAAUGGAGGAAACUCUGAUGCAGCGAUGCCGCGUGAGUGAAGAAGGCCCUUGGGUUGUAAAGCUCUUUCGUCGGGGAAGAAAAUGACUGUACCCGAAUAAGAAGGUCCGGCUAACUUCGUGCCAGCAGCCGCGGUAAUACGAAGGGACCUAGCGUAGUUCGGAAUUACUGGGCUUAAAGAGUUCGUAGGUGGUUGAAAAAGUUGGUGGUGAAAUCCCAGAGCUUAACUCUGGAACUGCCAUCAAAACUUUUCAGCUAGAGUUUGAUAGAGGAAAGCAGAAUUUCUAGUGUAGAGGUGAAAUUCGUAGAUAUUAGAAAGAAUACCAAUUGCGAAGGCAGCUUUCUGGAUCAUUACUGACACUGAGGAACGAAAGCAUGGGUAGCGAAGAGGAUUAGAUACCCUCGUAGUCCAUGCCGUAAACGAUGUGUGUUAGACGUUGGAAAUUUAUUUUCAGUGUCGCAGCGAAAGCGAUAAACACACCGCCUGGGGAGUACGACCGC
rnacentral:rRNA from 1 species